rnacentral:rRNA from 1 species
UACGAAGGGGGCUAGCGUUGCUCGGAAUCACUGGGCGUAAAGGGCGCGUAGGCGGCGUGACAAGUCACUUGUGAAAUCUCUGGGCUUAACCCAGAACGGCCAAGUGAAACUGUUGUGCUAGAGUGCAGAAGGGGCAAUCGGAAUUCUCGGUGUAGCGGUGAAAUGCGUAGAUAUCGAGAGGAACACCAGAGGUGAAGACGGGUUGCUGGGCUGACACUGACGCUGAGGCGCGAAAGCCAGGGGAGCAAACGGG